rnacentral:tRNA from 1 species
GCCCGCCUAGCUCAAUCGGAUAGAGCGUCAGACUCUUAACAAGCGAGGCGGUUUAGACACAUCUGAAGGCUGCGAGUUCGACCCUCGCGGUGGGCU